rnacentral:rRNA from 1 species
UGGGGAAUAUUGGACAAUGGGCGAAAGCCUGAUCCAGCUAUGCCGCAUGAGUGAAGAAGGCCUUUGGGUUGUAAAGCUCUUUUAGUGAGGAAGAUAAUGACGGUACUCACAGAAGAAGUCCUGGCUAACUCCGUGCCAGCAGCCGCGGUAAUACGGAGAGGGCUAGCGUUAUUCGGAAUUAUUGGGCGUAAAGGGCGCGUAGGCUGGUUAAUAAGUUAAAAGUGAAAUCCCGAGGCUUAACCUUGGAAUUGCUUUUAAAACUAUUAAUCUAGAGAUUGAAAGAGGAUAGAGGAAUUCCUGAUGUAGAGGUAAAAUUCGUAAAUAUUAGGAGGAACACCAGUGGCGAAGGCGUCUAUCUGGUUCAAAUCUGACGCUGAAGCGCGAAGGCGUGGGGAGCAAACA